GAUGAACGCUGGCGGCGUGCCUAAUACAUGCCAGUCGAGCGAACGGACGAGAAGCUUGCUUCUCUGAUGUUAGCGGCGGACGGGCGAGUAACACGUGGAUAACCUACCUAUAAGACUGGGAUAACUUCGGGAAACCGGAGCUAAUACCGGAUAAUAUUUUGAACCGCAUGGUUCAAAAGUGAAAGACGGUCUUGCUGUCACUUAUAGAUGGAUCCGCGCUGCAUUAGCUAGUUGGUAAGGUAACGGCUUACCAAGGCAACGAUGCAUAGCAGACCUGAGAGGGUGAUCGGCCACACUGGAACUGAGACACGGUCCAGACUCCUACGGGAGGCAGCAGUAGGGAAUCUUCCGCAAUGGGCGAAAGCCUGACGGAGCAACGCCGCGUGAGUGAUGAAGGUCUUCGGAUCGUAAAACUCUGUUAUUAGGGAAGAACAUAUGUGUAAGUAACUGUGCACAUCUUGACGGUACCUAAUCAGAAAGCCACGGCUAACUACGUG
rnacentral:rRNA from 1 species